rnacentral:rRNA from 1 species
ACGGGGCGCAGCAGGCGCGAAACCUUUACACUGUACGCAAGUGCGAUAAGGGGACUCCGAGUGUGAAGGCAUAGAGCCUUCACUUUUGUACACCGUAAGGUGGUGUACGAAUAAGGGCUGGGCAAGACCGGUGCCAGCCGCCGCGGUAAUACCGGCAGCCCGAGUGAUGGCCGAUAUUAUUGGGCCUAAAGCGUCCGUAGCUGGCCGGACAAGUCCGUUGGGAAAUCUGUUCGCUUAACGAGCAGGCGUCCAGCGGAAACUGUUCGGCUUGGGACCGGAAGACCUGAGGGGUACGUCCGGGGUAGGAGUGAAAUCCUGUAAUCCUGGACGGACCACCGGUGGCGAAAGCGCCUCAGGAGGACGGAUCCGACAGUGAGGGACGAAAGCUAGGGUCUCGAACCGGAUUAGAUACCCCCGUAGUCC